UACCAGCUCUCCGAGUUGUAGGGAUGAUUAUUGGGCUUAAAGCGUCCGUAGCCGGCUUAGCAAGUCUCCUGUUAAAUUCAGCGACCUAAUCGUUGAUCCGCGGGAGAUACUACUAGGCUAGGAGGCGGGAGAGGUCGACGGUACUUUCGGGGUAGGGGUGAAAUCCUAUAAUCCCGGGAGGACCACCAGUGGCGAAGGCUGUCGACUAGAACGCGCUCGACGGUGAGGGACGAAAGCUGGGGGAAGCGAACCGGAUUAGAUACCCGGGUAGUCCCAGCUGUAAACGAUGCGGGCUAGGUGUUGGGGUGGCUACGUGCCACUUCAGUGCCGCAGGGAAGCCAAUUAAGCCGCCGCCUGGGGAGUACGGCCGCAAGGCUGAAACUUAAAGGAAUUGGCGGGGGAGCACCACAAGGCGUGAAGCUUGCGGUUC
rnacentral:rRNA from 1 species